AGUGCUGUCCUGAGCCCACCAGGUUAAGAAAAGGAGUUUAGUUGACUAGAAGAUGAGAGGCCACGUGAAGGACAGUUGAGGUUAUCACCAAGCACCCAUCAUAUGAAUGGAGGCAUCAUGGACCAACCUACCUUCAAGCUAAAUGAAGCAGCGUGGAAUGAACCCAGGUGAAGGAGCAAAACAACUAGCCAACUAAUCUACAGAAUUAAUGACUUUGACUCACCCAUUCUCUUCUAUGGUAGAGCCAUUCAGACAGAAAUUCCAGGACCUCAGUGUGGAGGAAGCUCUUUCUCUGGAAGGCUGGUACAAACUAACCUGAGAUGAGAACUACUGAAGCUGCCCACGAAUUUGACUGCGUUUCGUGUCCUCGUUCUUACCAUGGAGCCCUUGCACCCACUUAGAGGAGUUUAUAAGGGAAGAAAAGGAAUAAAUCCUGGACUUUUAAUACACAGUCAUCCCCUGUUUUUUCAAAGUGCACCACUUGGCUUUGACCAAAGACCUAUUAACAUUGGCCAAAAGAAAUCCAAAGAAGAGUUUUGCUUUUAUGUACAAUUAUGAUCUCAGUGUACAGUUGGAAAAAAUUGCAGCCUUAAAGAUGUUAAGUAAAAUUCCCAAGGCUACUUAACUAAUAAAGUACGCAGCUACUAUUCAAAACCA